AGCGAACGCUGGCGGCAGGCUUAACACAUGCAAGUCGAGCGGGCCUUUCGGGGUCAGCGGCGGACGGGUGAGUAACGCGUGGGAACGUGCCCUCUGGUUCGGAAUAACUCAGUGAAACUUGAGCUAAUACCGGAUACGCCCUUUUGGGGAAAGGCUUGCUGCCGGAGGAUCGGCCCGCGUCUGUUUAGCUAGUUGGUGAGGUAACGGCUCACCAACGCGACGAUGAGUAGCUGGUCUGAGAGGAUGAUAAGCCACACUGGGACUGAGACACGGCCCAGACUCCUACGGGAGGCAGCAGUGGGGAAUAUUGGACAAUGGGCGCAAGCCUGAUACAGCCAUGCCGCGUGAGUGAUGAAGGCCUUAGGGUUGUAAAGCUCUUUUAUCCGGGACGAUAAUGACGGUACCGGAGGAAUAAGCCCCGGCUAACUUCGUG
rnacentral:rRNA from 1 species